rnacentral:rRNA from 1 species
ACGGAAGGUGCAAGCGUUAGUCGGAAUUAUUGGGCGUAAAGGGUGCGUAGGCGGAUUUAUAAGUCGGUUGUGAAAUUCCGGGGCUUAACCUCGGAGUUGCAUUCGAUACUGUAAAACUAGAGGGAAGACGGAGAAAAUGGAAUUCCAUAUGUAGCGGUGAAAUGCUUAGAUAUAUGGAAGAACACCUAUUGCGAAAGCAGUUUUCUGGCUUUUUCCUGACGCUGAGGCACUAAAUCAAGGGGAGCAAACAU